rnacentral:rRNA from 1 species
GAUGAACGCUAGCGGCAGGCUUAACACAUGCAAGUCGAGGGGUAUAGGAAGCUUGCUUCCUAGAGACCGGCGCACGGGUGCGUAACGCGUAUGCAAUCUACCUUUUGCAGGGGGAUAGCCCAGAGAAAUUUGGAUUAAUACCUCAUAGUAUGUGAGAAUGGCAUCAUUUUCGCAUUAAAGUCACAACGGCAAAAGAUGAGCAUGCGUCCCAUUAGCUUGUUGGUAAGGUAACGGCUUACCAAGGCAACGAUGGGUAGGGGUCCCGAGAGGGAGAUCCCCCACACUGGUACUGAGACACGGACCAGACUCCUACGGGAGGCAGCAGUGAGGAAUAUUGGACAAUGGGCGCAAGCCUGAUCCAGCCAUGCCGCGUGCAGGAUGACGGUCCUAUGGAUUGUAAACUGCUUUUGUACAGGAAGAAACACUGGUUCGUGAACCAGCUUGACGGUACUGUAAGAAUAAGGAUCGGCUAACUCCGUGCCAGCCGCCGCUGUAAUAC